rnacentral:rRNA from 1 species
AUUGAACGCUGGCGGCAUGCCUUACACAUGCAAGUCGAACGGCAGCGCGGACUUCGGUCUGGCGGCGAGUGGCGAACGGGUGAGUAAUACAUCGGAACGUACCCUGUUGUGGGGGAUAACUAGUCGAAAGAUUAGCUAAUACCGCAUACGACCUGAGGGUGAAAGUGGGGGACCGCAAGGCCUCACGCAGCAGGAGCGGCCGAUGUCUGAUUAGCUAGUUGGUGGGGUAAAGGCCCACCAAGGCGACGAUCAGUAGCUGGUCUGAGAGGACGAUCAGCCACACUGGGACUGAGACACGGCCCAGACUCCUACGGGAGGCAGCAGUGGGGAAUUUUGGACAAUGGGGGCAACCCUGAUCCAGCAAAGCCGCGUGUGUGAAGAAGGCCUUCGGGUUGUAAAGCACUUUUGUCCGGAAAGAAAUCGCGCUGGUUAAUACCUGGCGUGGAUGACGGUACCGGAAGAAUAAGCACCGGCUAACUACGUG